rnacentral:rRNA from 1 species
ACGCAAAAUGACUCUCGGCAACGGAUAUCUCGGCUCUUGCAUCGAUGAAGAACGUAGCGAAAUGCGAUACUUGGUGUGAAUUGCAGAAUCCCGUGAACCAUCGAGUCUUUGAACGCAAGUUGCGCCCAAAGCCAUUAGGUUGAGGGCACGCCUGCCUGGGUGUCACAC